rnacentral:rRNA from 1 species
AUUGAACGCUGGCGGCAUGCCUUACACAUGCAAGUCGAACGGUAACGCGGGGCAACCUGGCGACGAGUGGCGAACGGGUGAGUAAUGCAUCGGAACGUGCCUGGUAGUGGGGGAUAACUGCUCGAAAGAGCAGAUAAUACCGCAUACGACCUGAGGGUGAAAGGGGGGGAUCGCAAGACCUCUCGCUAUCAGAGCGGCCGAUGUCGGAUUAGCUAGUUGGUGGGGUAGAGGCCCACCAAGGCAACGAUCCGUAGCUGGUCUGAGAGGACGACCAGCCACACUGGGACUGAGACACGGCCCAGACUCCUACGGGAGGCAGCAGUGGGGAAUUUUGGACAAUGGACGCAAGUCUGAUCCAGCCAUGCCGCGUGCGGGAAGAAGGCCUUCGGGUUGUAAACCGCUUUUGUCAGGGAAGAAAUCUUCUGGGCUAAUACCCUGGGAGGAUGACGGUACCUGAAGAAUAAGCACCGGCUAACUACGUGCCAGCCGCCGCGGUAACAC